GGAGGGCUGGCUGAGCGGCCGAAAGCGACGGUCUUGAAAACCGUUGGGGCGGGACAACCCCGUCCUCGUGGGUUCGAAUCCCACGCCCUCCGCCA
rnacentral:tRNA from 2 species